GCUAGAUCGGCUGGCGGAGAUCUCCUGCGUUCGGAGUAACCAAAGCUAAGCGUGUUUGACAUGAAGUAUUAGCUUCUUCUCCAGCUACUUCAACUGUGGUUUCAACUCGAAUCAAUCAUUGAAUCGCAUUUAAUCAAUGUUUAAGAACUGAAGUUUGUUCUAAACCGAUAUUGCUGAAUUCUGUGUUGUAUGUAGUAUGGAUUUCGGACUUACAGUUUAAAUCAAUCGAUAUUUAUCAAGAGAGGGAUUCUUUAGUUACAUUACUAUUAUUAGAUACAACCACCGCAUCUUUGGACCACCAGUGAGUUGUAACCAACUUGCUGGCAUCUGAGCCGAUUGAGGGGGAAGGAAAAGGAAAGAUUAACUCGGUCAGAUAGCAUGACAUGGUGGCCACCAUUACCAUCAGCAUUAACAUUAUCACCAUUACCGCACCUCAAAUCCGAAACCAAGUCCCAGGCCAUCAGAAUAAUCCAUUCCGAGGGUUACACGCGGUGCAGUCUAAAUGCCAAGCAAGAAAUCAAGGCAAAAACGAGCAGAAUGAAAAAAACCAGCGGAAAAACCAGAGUCAAAUGCAGAGAAUAAACAAAAGGGAAACAUCGCCCCCCGAACAACUCGCUGGUUAAACAACAAUUGCAGGGCAAAAAGCAUCUGGGCACACAUGUGCCACCAAAUUAUUCACACCUCCUCCACAUACCCACACCAUCCACCCACCUCGAAGUUCUCUCAGCAACUUAACCACGCCCACCCUCUAUAAUUUUCCCCAUUAUUUCUUUACUUUUUUUUUCGGCUCCACCACCAACUCCAGUUUCAACUCUGAACACUGAACAUCGCAUUAUUAUUUUAAUUACACACAAAAAACAACUGAACAACAAUCACAUAUGCACAAACAUAACAUUUUAACAGAUCGGCUCAAAAUAUUAGAGACGCUGCUUCGAAAUUGCUUAGGCUAAUGCAUCAUCACAAAUCCUUAUUUGCUCAAAUAGAAGAUUGCAUAAUUAAAAAUGGCCCUUUUCUUGUUUUCAACUAUUUAACCAUAACCAUUAGACAUUGGGCAACGUAUUACCUACUUUUCUCACCGCCACUG